GAUGAACGCUGGCGGCGUGCCUAAUACAUGCAAGUCGAGCGAACAGAUAAGGAGCUUGCUCCUUUGAAGUUAGCGGCGGACGGGUGAGUAACACGUGGGUAACCUACCUAUAAGACUGGGAUAACUUCGGGAAACCGGAGCUAAUACCGGAUAACAUUUAGAACCGCAUGGUUCUAAAGUGAAAGAUGGUUUUGCUAUCACUUAUAGAUGGACCCGCGCCGUAUUAGCUAGUUGGUAAGGUAACGGCUUACCAAGGCGACGAUACGUAGCCGACCUGAGAGGGUGAUCGGCCACACUGGAACUGAGACACGGUCCAGACUCCUACGGGAGGCAGCAGUAGGGAAUCUUCCGCAAUGGGCGAAAGCCUGACGGAGCAACGCCGCGUGAGUGAUGAAGGGUUUCGGCUCGUAAAACUCUGUUAUUAGGGAAGAACAAACGUGUAAGUAACUGUGCACGUCUUGACGGUACCUAAUCAGAAAGCCACGGCUAACUACGUGCCAGCAGCCGCCGUAA
rnacentral:rRNA from 1 species